UACGUAGGGGGCUAGCGUUGUCCGGAAUCAUUGGGCGUAAAGCGCGCGUAGGCGGCCCGGUAAGUCCGUUGUAAAAGUCAAAGGCUCAACCUUUGAAAGCCGAUGGAUACUGCCGGGCUAGAGUCCGGAAGAGGCGAGUAGAAUUCCUGGUGUAGCGGUGGAAUGCGCAGAUAUCAGGAGGAACACCGGUGGCGAAGGCGGGAUCCUGGGCCAGUACUGACGCUGAGGAGCGAAAGCGUGGGGAGCAAACAGG
rnacentral:rRNA from 1 species